ensembl:lncRNA
GCUUCAUCUUAGAAAACCGUGCAAAAAACGGAGCGUAAAAGCAAAGGAGGAGCAGAGCGGGAACGUAUAAAAAAGAGAAAAGCCCUGGCCACAGACGCAUUAAGUUGAUGCAAAAUCCCAGCCAUGUUCACCAGUAAGGGAGCAGGGUUUAAUCUCGUCGGGUUCCUGAUCACCAUGUUGGGGGUUAUUCUGCGAAAACAACAGGCUGGAUGUACAUUAUAUCUUACUUAACACACAAGACAUAUUCAACAGAGCAACGAAUCGACGAGUCACCAUGGAAAUGGACAAAAGAACAAUUCAGAUGUGUGCUGCACAUUUUAUGGAGGAUGAGGACUGUUUCCUGAACCAGUAGCCUGCAAUGCGUCUGUGGCACAACGGCUGUUUCUAUAAAGUUGGACAGUUCAAACUUUGGACAGUCUGGGGCUUCUGACUCACAGCCUGUAGCACGAUGGAAAUGGAGUGGGAGUGUUGGGGAGCUGGAUAAGAUGGAAGUGGCUGAGAGGAGACAAAAAUAAAACCCAAUUUCAACAAUAGCUCAAACCCCUGCCUCAGUGUCUACAGGAAGACGAGCCAGCGCACCAUCAGCAAGUCCUGGAAUUUUGUAUUCCGCUGUAGGGAGUUUUUUUAAGCUUUAUUUUUCACAGACGUCCUUGAAAAUAAGGCAGGGCGACUAAACAGUUGUGGCACUUAAAAAAAGUAUUUCUGGGAGAAAAAAAAGAAGUGAACCACCUGAAACCUAUGGACACUAACCGCUAAUUUUGUCCCUCUUCUUCUUCUUUUUUAGAGGCUACAGUGAGGUGGGAGCUUACAAUGGAAAUGAAUGUUGUUGGUUUUUAGAAGGUUUAAAUGCAGAAUAGCAAAGCUUGUAAUUGUAAAAUCACUUACAUUGUUAUUAUUUAAAGUUAUGUAUUAUUUCAGCUGCAAAGUUUUUCUUGUCAGUUUUAUGAUCAUUUAAGGUACAGUAGUACGCUGUCAUGGCAACAGUGUUGUAAAAUGAAAUAAAAUUUUACAUGGAAAAAUCUGGAAAGCUUUUAUAUAUUUUAUAUUUGCCACACUAAAAUCAUAUUAAUGCAC